UGGGGAAUAUUGGACAAUGGGGGCAACCCUGAUCCAGCCAUGCCGCGUGAGUGAUGAAGGCCCUAGGGUUGUAAAGCUCUUUCGGUGGGGAAGAUAAUGACGGUACCCACAGAAGAAGCCCCGGCUAACUUCGUGCCAGCAGCCGCGGUAAUACGAAGGGGGCUAGCGUUGCUCGGAAUCACUGGGCGUAAAGCGCACGUAGGCGGCUUUCUAAGUCAGGGGUGAAAUCCCGGAGCUCAACUCCGGAACUGCCUUUGAUACUGGGAGGCUCGAGUCCGGGAGAGGUGAGUGGAACUGCGAGUGUAGAGGUGAAAUUCGUAGAUAUUCGCAAGAACACCAGUGGCGAAGGCGGCUCACUGGCCCGGUACUGACGCUGAGGUGCGAAAGCGUGGGGAGCAAACA
rnacentral:rRNA from 1 species